AAAUAGCCUAUGAAACUAGCUAAAUAAUGCAGUUGAGUUCAGCAAUUUGAAUAAUCUCUGGGUUCCAGCUAAACAAAAGAGUUUAUUCAAUGGCAUCAAUGAAGGCUGAAAAACCUGUUGGAACUUCACUCUUUGGACAAGCCAAGAAGGAGCCUGCCACUGGCAAAGCUACAACAAGUACCACCACCAAAGCUCCGGCUUCCAAGCCAUCCCCGAAGAAAGCUGCCCCAAAGUCUCCUGCACCCAAGAAGAAGGCAGCACCAAAGGCGAAAUCAGCAGCAGCAAAACAGUAACAAGAAUCUGAGGGGAUUGAUAUGUUCUUCUCUGGGAGAGCAUAUGAUGCAGUUACAUAUAUGUCUUUAUCUUUCAAUGUCAAUCUAUAUGAAAUCAAAAUCUGUGUGGCCUAUAUUAUAGUCAUAGCUUAUUUGGGCUAUGCUUUGGUGAAAUAAGAUCUACAUGAUUGACCACGAGUAUUGAUGGUAGCAGUGUUAGAUAGUAAAAUCAGUUUGAAAUAUAAUCACAUAACUUGCAGCAAGAAGUGCAUAGAAGAUAGAGCUAAUCAAUAAAAUUAAUCACUUUUGGGAUUGGUUAUUUUUAUCACUAUUAACAAGAAAAUAUUCAGAAAAUUUUGUAACUCAGCAAAGUUCGGCAUUAUUAUAUAAAUAUGUUUAUUAAUUUAUUUAUUGAUUCACAUGUGAACAAUUUAUAUGCCACAAUACAACAAUUAUUCAAAACUAUUUUAUAAUACCCAGAUUUUCAAUGUUGUAUUAAUAAAUUUAUAAGGUGAUUAAUAAAUUUUAUAUAUUUUUAUUCACUGAUUGAUACAAUGUUUUAAUAAUUAAUUCUUAAUUUCAUCUUAUUAAACCAAUUAUUUAUUAUAAUAAUAGUGUGACAUAAUUUCGUAACUAAAGUCUACGUAGGGUGAUGUAAUUGAUGUCUUUUGAUUUUUCAAAAAAAAUAAAAAUAUCUAAAGAGUUAAUCAUUAAAAUAAUUUAUUUACAUCAAUCCAUCCAUUAUUCAAGUGAGGGGUGUAAAAACUGACAGCUUUAAAUGGAUGACUAGAUUUCUCCCAAAGGCCAUAAUUUUUUUUUAAUCAUACCAAAAUUACUCGAAGGAUCUAGACAUUAGUUGACAUCAUCACCUUAUACAGGUGUAUCUAAUCAGUAAAUAUAAUAAUAAAUAGAAAAGUUAUAUUUUUUCAGAAGGAUCCAGAAGGAACCGGAAUCGAGUAUGCCUUACUUCAAAUGUAACAACUUAUAUAAUGGUGUUGAGCAUCUAUAGCAUCGUCACCUCCGAUCCCCUUCCCCCUCCCCCAACCUAAUAGUUGUAAACAAAAUAUUUUGUGUAGCUAAUUUCAAAUUGAUGAUUGAUCAAUUGCCUUGUAAAUAAGAUGCCAGCUGACCACAUCAUAUUAUUCUAAUGUCAAAAGAUAGGUUGGUACAUUCUAUUAUUUAAUAAGAUUUUAAUAUGUUUGAGAGUUCUGAUUUACAAUUUUCUCUCUCAAAUCAGAGACCACAAAAUUCACACCCAUCACUAAAUCAUCUAAAUUACACCCAUCAGUGAAACUCACCAUGUAUCUAUCCUAAUAAUCCCGAAUAUUCUUUAAAUCAAUAUUAUAUUGAUCUAUGUCAUCUAUAUGUCUAAGAUCUAUCAUUUCUCGGGCAUAUAUCUAUCAUCAAUAGUGAACCGUACAUAUAUACAUACACACAUAUCAUAUAUGUUUUCAAUUGUAAAAACAAGAAAACUUUCAUUCAAAAUAUAGAUCUAGAUGAAGGAUAAUUAUUAACUGCUUGAUGUGCUGCCAGAUAUCAUCAAUACAAUACAAGAAUUUCUGGUCUUCUAAUACAGAGAUUGGGGUCAUGAGGGGAAGAUCAUUAAGGAGCCUUCGUGUGUGCGGGGGCCCAUCUCAUCUCUACAAACAUUCAGCCUUUAGUUUUCAAGAACAACUGAGAAAGAUGUCUUCCAUAAGAAGGCUUUUGUCCCUAUCC